rnacentral:rRNA from 1 species
GACGAACGCUGGCGGCGUGCUUAACACAUGCAAGUCGAACGGAAAGGCCCUGCUUUUGUGGGGUGCUCGAGUGGCGAACGGGUGAGUAACACGUGAGUAACCUGCCCUUGACUUUGGGAUAACUUCAGGAAACUGGGGCUAAUACCGGAUAGGAGCUCCUGCUGCAUGGUGGGGGUUGGAAAGUUUCGGCGGUUGGGGAUGGACUCGCGGCUUAUCAGCUUGUUGGUGGGGUAGUGGCUUACCAAGGCUUUGACGGGUAGCCGGCCUGAGAGGGUGACCGGCGACAAUGGGACUGAGGUACGGAGCAGACUGCAACGGGAGGCAGCAGUGGGGAAUAUUGCACAAUGGGCGGAAGCCUGAGGCAGCAACGCCGCGUGCGGGAUGACGGCCUUCGGGUUGUAAACCGCUUUCGCCUGUGACGAAGCGUGAGUGACGGUAAUGGGUAAAGAAGCACCGGCUAACUACGUG